UGCUAAUACCGGAUAACAACACUAGACGCAUGUCUAGNGUUUAAAAGAUGGUUCUGCUAUCACUCUUGGAUGGACCUGCGGUGCAUUAGCUAGUUGGUAAGGUAACGGCUUACCAAGGAAAUGAUGCAUAGCCGAGUUGAGAGACUGAUCGGCCACAUUGGGACUGAGACACGGUCCAAACUCCUACGGGAGGCAGCAGAC
rnacentral:rRNA from 1 species